rnacentral:rRNA from 1 species
UAGGGAAUCUUCCGCAAUGGGCGAAAGCCUGACGGAGCAACGCCGCGUGAGUGAUGAAGGUCUUCGGAUCGUAAAACUCUGUUAUUAGGGAAGUACAAAUGUGUAAGUAACUAUGCACGUCUUGACGGUACCUAAUCAGAAAUCCACGGCUAACUACGUGCCAGCAGCCGCGGUCAUACGUAGGUGGCAAGCGUUAUCCGGAAUUAUUGGGCGUAAAGCGCGCGUAGGCGGUUUUUUAAGUCUGAUGUGAAAGCCCACGGCUCAACCGUGGAGGGUCAUUGGAAACUGGAAAACUUGAGUGCAGAAGAGGAAAGUGGAAUUCCAUGUGUAGCGGUGAAAUGCGCAGAGAUAUGGACGAACACCAGUGGCGAAGGCGACUUUCUGGUCUGUAACUGACGCUGAUGUGCGAAAGCGAGGGGAUCAAACAGG